UAGAUGACGGGCCCGCACAAGCAGCGGAGCGUGUGGUUUAAUUCGAUGUUACACGAAGAACCUUACCAGGGUUUGACAUGCAAGUGGUAGGAAGCCGAAAGGUGACCGACCCUUCGGGGAGCUUGCACAGGUGCUGCAUGGCUGUCGUCAGCUCGUGUCGUGAGAUGUUCGGUUAAGUCCGCUAACGAGCGCAACCCUCGCUGUGUGUUAUAUGUGUCACACGGGACUGCCGGUCUUAAGCCGGAGGAAGGUGGGGAUGAUGUCAAGUCAGCAUGGCCUUUAUAUCCUGGGCUACACACACGCUACAAUGGCCAACACAAUAGGUUGCUAAGCCGCGAGGUGGCGCCAAUCCAUAAAGUUGGUCUCAGUUCAGAUUGUAGGCUGCAACCCGCCUGCAUGAAGAUGGAGUUGCUAGUAACCGCAGGUCAGCUAUACUGCGGUGAAUACGUUCCCGGGGCUU
rnacentral:rRNA from 1 species